UGGAACUAUUGCAUACUAAUCAACCAGUUGGUGAAGAAAUUCAAAGCCAACCAAGACCACAAAGAACCAGACAACCACCAUCAAGACUUAGUGACUAUGAAGUCUUCCCAGACUCAGAAAUCACCACUGAAGGAGAAUUGGUUCACAUGGCCCUCUUGGCUGAAAUGGAACCAGUAAACUCAGAAGAAGCUUUCAGACAGAAUCAUUGGCUUGAAGCUAUGCAAGAAGAACUCAUGUCCAUUGAGAAAAACAGAAC
rnacentral:lncRNA from 1 species